AUUGAACGCUGGCGGCAUGCCUUACACAUGCAAGUCGAACGGUAACAGGUCUUCGGAUGCUGACGAGUGUCGAACUGGUGAGUAAUACAUCGGAACGUGCCUAGUAGUGGGGGAUAACUACUCGAAAGAGUGGCUAAUACCGCAUGAGAUCUACGGAUGAAAGCAGGUGGUCGCAAGACCUUGUGCUACUAAAGCGGCCGAUGGAAGAUUAGGUAGUUGGAUGGAUAAAAGCUUACCAAGCCGACGAUCUGUAGCUAGUGGGAGAGGACGAUCAGCAACACUGGGACUGAGAGCCGGCCCGGACUCCGACGGGAGGCAGCAGUGGGGAAUGUUGGACAAUGGGCGAAAGCCUGAUCCAGCAAUGCCGCGUGCAGUAUGAAGGCCUUCGGGUUGUAAACUGCUUUUGUACGGAAAGAAAAGCCCCGGGUUAAUACCCUGGGGUCAUGACGGUACCGUAAGAAUAAGCACCGGCUAACUACGUGCCAGCAGCCGCCGUAA
rnacentral:rRNA from 1 species